UGAGCAAGCUCAACGUGGAUGUAAAUGACUUUUGGGCUCAUUGUAAUACGAGGCAAGGCUAGGCAGGGCUAGGUAAUGAAUAUGUAUAGGUGUAUUGGGAAACUUAAUGAAUAUGUUUGUAACCUGAUAUACGCCAAGCUGAAUGGAGCUGUCAGCACGCAUGACCUUGGAGGAACUAUUUCCCAUGCGUCCCAGCGCUGGAAUAAACAUACCUACUUUACUACUUAGUGGAGUCUUUUCCGUGUAUCAUUUGGCGAGCCAGAUAGGAGGAACUCUGUCCGGCUGCAGGAUCGGCUGAGGAGCGGACGUCCUAGGCGCACCCCGGGGCUUUCCUGGAGGAACUCUGCCUCUUGGCUCGCUCACUGCGGGGGCAGACAGCAACCUGCUGGGACUGCGGAUAAAGGGUAUGUUCUGGAUUUAGGGUGUCUGUAAGUCGUACGUGUGGCCACGGCUGCUGGUAAGCUGCGCAGAGACGUCUGGCAUACAGCAUAGUCCCUGUGUGGGUAAAGGUGGGGCUUGCAAGCAACCGGCUACCGGAGCCGGCAAGGGGGAAUCACCGACCGAUAGAGCAGCUGCUAGCGAUCCUGGGAGCGGAUCGGGUGAUUCCAGGGCGGGGGGGGGGGGUUCUGCCAGAACUUGUUGAUGAUCGUAUUGAGGAAAAUAAAUAAGCGGGAGCCUGAGGUUAUUAAAAGUGAGUGUUAUGAAUAUUUUAGCUACUAGUAGCUGGUUUGAAUGUUGUUGGGUCGCUUAUAUGUCUGUGUGGAUAUUGGUUGUUGUUGGACUGCUUUUAUGUGUAUGUUGUCGUGUGUUGUUUGAGUAUGUAGUAUUUAAGCAUUUGUUUGGAGCCGUGCUAGAUUACUGAUUAUUGUGCUAAUAGAAUUAGAAUUGUGGCUAGGCGAGAGGUUAGAAGAACCCCUCCCCCUCAGUAGUUUGGUCUUGAUUCUUGGAAAUUUGUAAAUCCGAUAGAACAUUGGAUAGAGAGAAGAGGUGACCAAAUUCCUUUAAAGAGAAUAUACAGAACCUCUGCAGGAAGAUUAGUAGCUUUAGAUUGGGAACAACCAGCGGCAGAAGAUUUAGGUUUUGAAAGAAUACAUGGAAUAACUUGUUUUUGUGGAUGCAUUAGAAUUUUUCGUUCAGCAAGAGGGUGGCAUGUUGCGUGGGUACUAAUACAGUGUAAAGUUUGUAAGAAGAGGUGGUACCUUCUGCCAGGCAGCAGCGCUUAUGCUUUCAGUGUUAUCAGAGGCACUCUAGUGAAGUUGAUUUUGAGCCUGAGAUUUUAAUGUUUGUGUGUGGGAAGUUGCAUUUGGUACCUGAGGUUUGGGAAGUUUGGGAAGAAAACUGGGAAAGAACUGUGAGAGAGUGUGAAGAAAGGUUUGGGUAAAAGUGAGAUAAAACUAGGAGAAAGAGAUAGAAACAACAGUGGAUAAGCAGGGAGGGAGGUCGUUACCCCCCAUCCCUCAGUAGUUAUAUGGUAGGAGUAUAGCCCCCGACUCUUUCCGUUCAUUUGUCCUAUGUGCAUGAGUGAUGCUUUGUGUGUGGGCAUAAGACGAUUCCAGCCCCACACCGGCUGUGGGUUUUAGCUCAGUGCAGAUUCUGUAGAAGCUGGAGAUACUAUGAUUCUAUUUAUUUAGCAAACAGAGAUCUGUGCCCGGAGUGCUGAGAAAGCAAGGAACAUUUUGUUUUAAAACUUUUGUGUGGCAAAGAGCAUCACGUUCGUGAAAAUAGUAGUGUGCUAGAAAAUGAUUGGGAGGAACUAGUAAAGGCUUUUGAAGAAGAUUUUAAGUGGCAGCGAAGCAGGCCUGGCAGAAAGCAUAAGAGAAUUUAUAAAGAGGGGCUUAUACACUAUACAGAGUGGGUGGUGUCCAAGCUGCCAGAGGAGAGAGCUUGGUAUCAGACUAGAAAGAGCAAGAAUAAAAGAACUUGGCAGAAAAUGAAGGUGUACAUAAUGUUAGAGCGAGGGGAGAGUAGCAGAGAAUAGUGAGAAAUUUGAGAGGAACUGGUUAGAAAAGAAGAGAUGAAGAAAAGGCAAAAGCAAAGGCAAAGGUGAUGGCAGAAGUUGUAAGAAUUGUGGACAUUGUGGUUAAUAGAUUUGGGUGUUUAGUUCCCUUUUCUGCUUGGUGUUUUGUGCAGAGCUGUAACGCUUCUGUUACGUGGUGCUUGUGCAGAGUUGAAAGGCUCCUGUUUGGAGGGGACCCAUGCCCCUGUGCCUUUUGUGUUUUGUUGUGAAAAGCCAAAAUUGGCAGGUUUCAGUCCUGAGGCCAAUCUGGGGCUCCUAUCUUGUGGGGAACCCCCCCCACCAGUCUGUGGUUUAUUGUGGAGAACUAGAAUUGGCAGAUUCUGAUCUUGAAGCCAAUUCUGCAGCUACAGCCUUGUAGAGAUGGUGGUGUGCCUAUGCAGGCCUAGGUAUUUGUCAUGCAGCCUCGUCUGUGGGGGCUUUAGAGAAACUUUAAGAAAAAACGCCUGUCCUGAGUGGCCAGUGAAAGAAAAAAAAAUAAAAAAGAGAAAAAGCAAAUCAAAUGCCUGAUUCACAGACCGCAACUCUUGCAAAACUUUUAAAAGUGGUCUCACUCUCUCCACUGAAGAAUCAGUUGGAGGAAACCCCACUGAAAACCUGUAGGAAACAACAGAAGUGGUGCAACAAGCACUUCAUAGAAUAAAACCAAAACACCACUUGAAUAAGUUAAUGCAAUUAACAACUUGUUUCACUCAGACAUAUUUUUCAUUUUUUUUCAAGGAAGUUUGUUUCUUUUCUCCUUUCUAAGAAUGUCAAAUAUCCCUGCAUCGAAAAUAAAGCAGUUUGAGAGCAAGGAAACUGCAAGCAGCAAAAUCAUGCCUAAAUGUGAUAACCAUUGCUUCAUUGUCACUUUGUGUUAGCCCCAAAAGGUUUUACUUUUUAAUAAUCAGUCUAGUGGGCCAAAUUUUCACUUUUCUUUUAUAGGAAUCUACCAACACAGGACAUAGAACUGUAUGAAAACCAAUUAAAUUUAAAGUGUCAUCAUAAUUGCUUGCAUUGUGAGUUUGUUAAUGUUUGUAAUUUGUUUGUGUUUUCAUUGCAAGUGACUUGGUGGGAGAUCAAGUAGUAGUUAAAGCAUUCUACAUAUUGUUGAGUUUAACUUUCGUCUAACUUGUUUUGUCUUUUUACUGAAAAAUGUUGUAGCUAAAGUCUUAUAGAUGUAUAAUUUGUCUCAACCAAUAUUAUCCAGAGAGUUGGUAUAAAAAUUUAUACAUAUUUGAAAUCCUACAAAUAUGGACUAACCUUCCCAGCUCUGCCUCAGAAGGCUUCAAAAUUAUUAUAACCUGGCUAAAUUUUUUAGAUUUUCUUAAUUAGUGAAUUAAAGAAUCUUGACAAAACACAAGCAAAUGCUGCAUGAGAAAUGAUUGGAUCCCCCUUCCUAAACCAAGAGGGAUAGCCAUAGACUGCAGAUGGGACAUGAAUAAAACACAGAAAAGCCUUCUACCAGCUCUCAAACUAAAGUGCUGUUGAAUCUCAUGCCUUAUGUCUUAAGAAGGUAUUUUAUCUUUGCCUCACUCCUCCUAUUUAUAACACAUUCUGCAAUCUCAGAUGGGGGGUGCAGAAUGUGAUGAAGGCAAUUUAUGUUUUACAUUUCAUGUGUCUGAAUUCUAAUCUUAAUAUAAUAUUUUAGAAGUGGUGAUACAUAUUAGUAUCUUCUGUCCAGUAACAGAUUUCUUAGAGAAAAAGUAUGGCAACCUCACAGUUGUAUGAUGCAUAAGUAUAAAAGUAGUAAAGCCAAAAAUUGCCUCGUAGACAAACAUGUUGUGUUUAUAGGAGAUUCCAGAAUUCAACAGCUAUUCUAUUCAUUUAUAAAACUCAUAAAUCCUCAAGUCAAAGAAGAGGGAAAACAACCAGUUAGAAUUAAACAAUAACCCCUCAAAAAGGAAGACAGAGAAAGAAUUAGCCCAAUAAUUGAAAAAUUCUUACAGUUAGGACUGUUAAAAGAGUGCCAGUCUGAUUUUAACACUCCUAUCCUGCCUGUCUGCAAACCUGAUGGGUCCUACCGAAUGGUACAGGAUUUACGGGCUGUUAACAAGAUAACUGAAGAUCUCUAUCCUGUGGUGGCAAACCCUUACACUCUGUUAACAUGUUUAACACCAGAGCUAACUUGGUUUACCGUUUUAGAUUUAAAGGAUGCCUUCUUUUGCCUCCCUCUCCAUGAAGCCAGCCAGAAAAUUUUUGCAUUUGAAUAGGAAAGCCCUAAGAGUGGGCGCAAAACCCAGCUCACAUGGACGGUGUUGCCUCAGGGAUUUAAGAACAGUCCCACCCUGUUUGGAGAACAGCUCGCAAAAGACAUAGAGUCCUGGGAAGCCCCACCAGGAGAAGGGAAGCUAUUGCAGUACGUGGAUGAUCUCCUAAUAGCUACCCGAACAGAAGAAGCUUGCACAGCCUGGACGGUAAGCCUCUUAAACUUCCUGGGACUCCAAGGGUACAGGGUAUCUAAGAAAAGGCUCAGGUGGUGAAACAAAAAGUGAUCUACCUGGGCUAUGAAGUCAGUGCCGGGCAACGAACUUUGGGGCAAGAUCGCAAAGAAGCGAUAUGCCACACCCCGAAACCCCAGACAGUGAAAGAGUUUCGGACUUUUCUGGGGAUGACAGGGUGGUGCAGACUGUGGAGUUACAAUUACGGGCUGCUCGUGAAGCCACUAUAUGAACUCAUUACAAAGGAAAGCAGAGCUCUCCAGUGGACAAAGGAGGCCACGCGGGCCUUCAACCAGCUGAAGAAUGCCCUCAUGUCAGCUCCAGCUCUAGGACUUCCAGACGUGAGUAAGCCAUUCUUUCUAUUUUCCCAUGAGAAACAAGGGAUCGCCCUGGGAAUACUAGCACAGGACCUGGGCCCAUACCAACGGGCAGUUGCCUAUUUCUCUAAGCAGCGAGAUGCAGCAGCCAAAGGAUGGCCUGGGUGCCUCAGAGCUGUUGCAGCAGUCGUGCUAAACAUCCAGGAAGCACACAAAUUCACCUUGGGCCAGAAAAUGACUCUGCUGGUGUCCCACACAGUGUCCAUGGUGCUAGAAAUGAAAGGUGGGCACUGGCUCUCCCCACAAAGGUUCCUGAAAUAUCAAGCUAUCAUGGUAGAACAAGAUGAUGUAGAAAUAGUGGUAACUAACAUUGUCAACCCAGCUUCCUUUCUCAGUGGAAAUCAAGGGGAACCGGUACGCCAUGAGUGCCUGGAGACUAUCGAAGCCCCCUACUCCAGCCGCCUAGACCUGAAGGAUACUCCUUUAGACGAUGCAGAAACCUGGUUUACCGAUGGGAGCAGCUAUGUCAUCAGUGGAAAGCGGCAUGCUGGGUAUGCAGUUACCACCUGCCGCGAGGUGAUAGAAUCUGGACCCCUGCCAACAAACACCUCUGUGCAGAAGGCUGAAAUAAUCGCCCUAACCCGUGCCUUAGAGAUGGCAAACGGAAAGAAAAUAAACAUCUCUACAGACUCAAGGUCCUUUGACUCAGCUGGCGUGGGUCCACCCUCUCUCUAGACCAAAUUGCAGCCUUGGUGGUCAACAGCACCUGGAACGGACCUUCCCAUUGUGGUGAGAGGAGUCUGCUUGCUUCGGCUGCUUUUCCUUCUGCUGGAGAAAGAAAUCCCAAAGCCCGCCUUCUCUGCCGCACUCGGAGCCGGGCUGUGGCCGCCCUGCCCCAUCGUUGCUUCGAGCCUUUGCUAUGUGGUAGCCAUGCUUGCC